UUGAACGCUGGCGGCAUGCUUUACACAUGCAAGUCGAACGGCAGCGGGGGCUUCGGCCUGCCGGCGAGUGGCGAACGGGUGAGUAAUACAUCGGAACGUGUCCUUAAGUGGGGAAUAACGCAUCGAAAGAUGUGCUAAUACCGCAUAUCUCUCAGGAGGAAAGCAGGGGAUCGCAAGACCUUGCGCUAAAGGAGCGGCCGAUGUCUGAUUAGCUAGUUGGUGGGGUAAAGGCCUACCAAGGCAACGAUCAGUAGCUGGUCUGAGAGGACGAUCAGCCACACUGGGACUGAGACACGGCCCACUCCUACGGGAGGCAGCAGUGGGGAAUUUUGGACAAUGGGCGAAAGCCUGAUCCAGCCAUGCCGCGUGAGUGAAGAAGGCCUUCGGGUUGUAAAGCUCUUUUAGUUGGAAAGAAAGAAUUAUAGUUAAUAGCUAUAAUUUAUGACGGUACCAACAGAAAAAGCACCGGCUAACUACGUGC
rnacentral:rRNA from 1 species